AUCGGAGGCUGCCUCCUUCUCUACGCCCACCACUCAGCAGUUCACUGACCCAGAGCCUGAGGGCCACAACUGCUAUGAGGGCUGGGAGGAGGACCUGCUGCCUGAGGAGAGGGAGGUUCCUCUGCUAAACCUCUACCUUACCACCAACAGAGUGGAGGACAUCGCCCUGAGGCUCGUCUCCCUGCGCCAGGCCUUCACUACCCUGCUUGGUUCCACCCUGAGCAGGAACCAUCUGUUUGUGGCGGGAAAGGUCCUCCUGGGCGCCCUGGUUCAGGCCAACCACAUGAUAACUCACUAACUCAUUCUCUUUCAAGGGAAAGAGAGCGUCCCUGAGGGGAAAUGUGUUCUGUUCACUAAGAUGCUCUUUUCUUUGUCAUAGGACGAGGCCAAGU